GCCCCUGUAGCUCAACUGGUAGAGCGGCUCCCCUGUAAGGAGCGGGUUCUGGGUUCAAAUCCUGGCACGGGCUA
rnacentral:tRNA from 3 species